rnacentral:rRNA from 1 species
UACGUAGGGUGCAAGCGUUGUCCGGAAUUAUUGGGCGUAAAGAGCUCGUAGGCGGCUUGUCGCGUCGGCUGUGAAAACCUAGGGCUCAACCCUGGGCCUGCAGCCGAUACGGGCAAGCUAGAAUUCGGUAGGGGAGACUGGAAUUCCUGGUGUAGCGGUGAAAUGCGCAGAUAUCAGGAGGAACACCGGUGGCGAAGGCGGGUCUCUGGGCCGAUAUUGACGCUGAGGCACGAAAGCCAGGGGAGCAAACGGG